rnacentral:rRNA from 1 species
GACGAACGCUGGCGGCGUGCCUAACACAUGCAAGUCGAACGGAAAGGCCCUGCUUUCGUGGGGUGCCCGAGUGGCGAACGGGUGAGUAACACGUGAGUAACCUGCCCUUGACUUUGGGAUAACCUCAGGAAACUGGUGCUAAUACCUGAUAGGAGCUCCUGCUGCAUGGUGGGGGUUGGAAAGUUUCGGCGGUUGGGGAUGGACUCGCGGCUUAUCAGCUUGUUGGUGGGGUAGUGGCUUACCAAGGCUUUGACGGGUAGCCGGCCUGAGAGGGUGACCGGCCACAUUGGGACUGAGGGACGGCCCAGACUCCUACGGGAGGCAGCAGUGGGAAAUAUUGCACAAUGGGCGGGAGCCUGAUGCGGCAACGCCGCGUGCGGGAUGACGGCCUUCGGGUUGUAAACCGCUUUCGCCUGUGACGAAGCGUGAGUGACGGUAAUAGGUAAAGAAGCACCGGCUAACUACGUG